GAUGAACGCUGGCGGCGUGCUUAACACAUGCAAGUCGAACGAUGAAGCCCAGCUUGCUGGGUGGAUUAGUGGCGAACGGGUGAGUAACACGUGAGUAACCUGCCCUUAACUCUGGGAUAAGCCUGGGAAACUGGGUCUAAUACCGGAUAGGAGCGUCCACCGCAUGGUGGGUGUUCGAAAGAUUUAUCGGUUUUGGAUGGACUCGCGGCCUAUCAGCUUGUUGGUGAGGUAAUGGCUCACCAAGGCGACGACGGGUAGCCGGCCUGAGAGGGUGACCGGCCACACUGGGACUGAGACACGGCCCAGACUCCUACGGGAGGCAGCAGUGGGGAAUAUUGCACAAUGGGCGCAAGCCUGAUGCAGCGACGCCGCGUGAGGGAUGACGGCCUUCGGGUUGUAAACCUCUUUCAGUAGGGAAGAAGCGAAAGUGACGGUACCUGCAGAAGAAGCACCGGCUAACUACGUG
rnacentral:rRNA from 1 species